CUUCAUUCUAAAACCGUGUCCCUAAGAGUCUCUUCUAAGCACUAAACACCCUGAACAGUUGCAUGUUGCUCUGACUUUGUGGUUUCUUCCUUUCUCCUCCUCACAGGGAAAAAGAAGUAAGUCUUGAUAAGAACUGUGGUAUAUAUGUGAAGGACUGUUACACUGCACUCUGUGUGAGAUGACAAAUCUGGCUAAGGGCCAGCAGUGGUGUAAUGCUGUGCAUGUUGUGCACUGCUUUACAACUGGAUCACUUAAUAGGGCAGUGCAAGGGCCAAGUCAAGGUACCAUCUUCCUCUGUGGCAGGGGACUGGAGCCCUGUCAGCAGGGCUGAGCACAGGCUGUCUGCUGCCUUGUUUCCUCCGUGGCUGGAGAUGCAGAGUGCUUGGCUGAGUUCCUGCACUAGGCGUGGGAUGCAGCCCGGCGUGGGAGGCACACUCAAUUCAGUUGAGCGACAUGCAGGUCUUGAACAGCUUGAGCGGGGCAGCCUGCUUUAGAUGAAUACAAGUGAAUAGUCCCUUUGGAUGUUAAAAGCCUCCAAAAAUAGUUAUAAAGGCUCAGCUAAAUUUAAUACGGCUCUAAUGUCAAUGGAAGGAUUAGAACAUUUGGGAUUUGCACCAGUUAGCAUUAA